rnacentral:lncRNA from 1 species
AUUUAGUGACCAACUUUGUAAAGUGGUCACUAAAUACUUUUAGUGACGAGCCUAUAGUGAUCACUUAGUGACCAUCAUAUUUUGGUCACUGAAGCUUAUUAGUGACCAAAUUUGCCAUCUUUUGUGACCACUGCCAUGGUCAUUAAUACUGGGUUUUGUUGUAGUGUUAAAGAGUUGGCGACUAGUUUUGAUUCCAUUAGCUUUAAAUAUGUCUUUCGUAAAGGUAAUUUUGUAGCGGAUGUCAUUGCUAAUAUUGGUCAUUCUAGUGUUGUCCCAUUACAUUGGGAUAUAGGGUUCCUAGUGAUAGGUGCAUUUUAUGCAACGUUCUUAAUGUAUUUCCGACCCUAUUUAGUUAUGUAAUUCCUUUAACAAUAUUGAUUUUAACUUAGUUUGUGUUUUUAGGUCACAAAUAAAGCCGAGGAGCACAAAAGAGGCAAAAGAGGAGAAAUCUUGAAGGAAAAGGAAUCCAUAUGGCGCAAGGAAAGAAAUCAGAAAAUCUGCCAGGAAUAGUCAGUCAACUUCGACAGAGAAUUGUGAUCAGCUCACAACGAUCCAGGAGAUGAACUUUAUAUCAGCAGAAAGCUAGAAGAGUCUAGUUUUCAGAACUUUUCGCAGAUCGUCAAUAGCUAUUUUGGUGACCAAGUUAUGACCGUUUGAGUGACCAAAGGUCAGUCUGCCCGAAUUUCUGAUUUGGACCGGAACUUCAAUUUCAAGGCCCAGACCACAACGGCGAGCCCAUGG